rnacentral:lncRNA from 1 species
AGUAACUAAGCAAGAUCGAAAUACCUGAUCCACUACUAAAGACUCACCCACGGGGGUCGACACACGCAACGGCGCUACCAGAGGCUCAGACAUCAUACUCAAUCGAGAGGCAUAGUAAACAGAAACGUACGAAAAAGUGGAGCCUGGAUCAAAUAAAGCCAAGGCGGGCUGCUGGCAUAAAAGAAUAGUAUCUGUGAUCACAUCGUCUGAUGCCUCAGCCUCCGCCCUCGCUGGAGCUGCAUAGA